rnacentral:tRNA from 1 species
GGGGUUGUAGCUCAGUGGUAGAGCACUUGCCUUGUACACAUGAGGCACUGGAUUCGAUCCUCACCACCA